rnacentral:rRNA from 1 species
GACCUGAUGCAGCCAUGCCGCGUGUGUGAAGAAGGCCUUCGGGUUGUAAAGCACUUUCAGUUGUGAGGAAAAGUUAGUAGUUAAUACCUGCUAGCCGUGACGUUAACAACAGAAGAAGCACCGGCUAACUCCGUGCCAGCAGCCGCGGUAAUACGGAGGGUGCGAGCGUUAAUCGGAAUUACUGGGCGUAAAGCGCACGCAGGCGGUUUGUUAAGCUAGAUGUGAAAGCCCCGGGCUCAACCUGGGAUGGUCAUUUAGAACUGGCAGACUAGAGUCUUGGAGAGGGGAGUGGAAUUCCAGGUGUAGCGGUGAAAUGCGUAGAUAUCUGGAGGAACAUCAGUGGCGAAGGCGACUCCCUGGCCAAAGACUGACGCUCAUGUGCGAAAGUGUGGGUAGCGAACAGGAUUAGAUACCCUGGUAGUCCACACCGUAAACGCUGUCUACUAGCUGUUUGUGACUUUAAGCCGUGAGUAGCGAAGCUAACGCGAUAAGUAGACCGCCUGGGGAGUACGGCCGCAAGGUUAAAACUCAAA